rnacentral:rRNA from 1 species
GACGAACGCUGGCGGCGUGCCUAAUACAUGCAAGUAGGACGCAGUUGCGAACGGGUGAGUAACGCGUAGGUAACUGCCUAUUAGAGGGGGAUAACUAUUGGAAACGAUAGCUAAUACCGCAUACUAGUAGAUGGACCUGCGUUGUAUUAGCUAGUAGGUAGGGUAAUGGCCUACCUAGGCGACGAUACAUAGCCGACCUGGGGGGGUGGAUGGGCAAACUUGGGCUUGUGGACGGGCCCGGAUCCGACAGGAAGGAGCAAUAGGGAAACAUCGGGAAUUGGAGGAACCCCUGCCAGGGAACGGCGCGUGGAUGAAAAAGGUUUUCGGGUCGUAAAACUCUGUUGUUGAGGGAGCGGUACUUAACCAGAAAGGGACGGCUAACUACGUGCCAGCAGCCGCGGUAAUAC